rnacentral:rRNA from 1 species
GGUUGAUCCUGCCAGUAGUCAUAUGCUUGUCUCAAAGAUUAAGCCAUGCAUGUCUAAGUAUAAACAACUUUGUACUGUGAAACUGCGAAUGGCUCAUUAAAUCAGUUAUAGUUUAUUUGAUUAUCAUUUACUACUUGGAUAACCGUGGUAAUUCUAGAGCUAAUACAUGCUAAAAAUCGCGACUUCUGGAAGCGAUGUAUUUAUUAGAUAAAAAACCAAUGCGGGCAACCGCUUAAGAGUUGAUUCAUGAUAACUGUUCGAAUCGCAUGGCCUUGUGCUGGCGAUGUUUCAUU